rnacentral:rRNA from 1 species
GGUCUAGGCGGUCUAUUAAGUUUCCUGUGAAAACCCGGGGCUCAACCCCGUGGACUGCAGGGAAAACUGGUAGACUUGAGUAUGUGAGACGCGUGCGGAAUACUGGGUGUAGCGGUGAAAUGCGUAGAUAUCCAGUAGAACACCAGCGGCGAAGGCGGCCGCGUGCACAUUACUGACGCUGAAGCCCGAAAGCGUGGGGAGCGAACAGGAUUAGAUACCCUGGUAGUC